AAAUAAGCAUUUUGUUUACAUAAAAUCCCUUGUCAUUUCACCACUAGGUUUGAAACCCAGACAGCACGAAGCAUCUUGCCGACGUCAAAAUCAGAUCAACAGACAGGGACAUCAGCCUUCUCUUGGGAAUAGGCCAGAUAUGCCAUAACAAGAAAUGGUGUUUUGCCCCUGCGGUUGUGAAGAGGAUGCUGUGGAGGUGGCAGCAUGAACGUGUCACACAGACAUUGGCUAAACUACUCGGCUUCUACACUUGCCCUCAGAGUUCACAUAUGGUGACGUGCACAGGUGUCCAGUCAGGUUCAGACUGAUGCUGGUAACAAGAGGAGAACAUGCUAAUUGAUGCUGUGUUGCUGCCAGUCCACGGAUGUACACGAAUGGCUCACCUGGAGGAGGAGGGCGGUCAACGACAUUACUCAAGUAUUGACAACAAAUGUGCUCUACGAAAUAUGAUGGAUCACAGACCCGACUCAGAACUGAACUCAUUUCAGCUGGCGGCUAACUGGUCUCAUAGGAGUCCAUGUUAACUGCUAGCUCGGAGAUGACAUUUCCAGCAUGUCCAACUCAUCAGCAUCAGGGGAGAUUCGGUGGAGGUGGUGCACCAUCCAGGACCAGUCAUGGGCCACCAAAACCUCUGCAAAAUCUACACUUCUUGUGAACCCUGUAGAAGACACUACAACCACAAAACUGCUAAUAAACCAUCACAUACUGCGUCACA